ensembl:snRNA U2 U2 spliceosomal RNA
UUUGCUUCUCGGCAUUUUGGCUAAGAUCAUGUGUAGUAUCUGUUCUUAUCAGUGAAUUGUUAUUAUUAAUAAGAAUGGAUUUAUUGUUAUUAUUAGGUGAAUUCAU